AAAAAAAAAAAAAAGAAGAAUUAACAGAAAUAGAUAGAAGAAACUUAGAUGGCCUAACAAGGUACUAAUUGUGUACAAAAGAACUAUGAAACAGUUUUGGGUUUAAGGCAAAUAUUUUACAUUUUUGAGAUAAGGAAACAAGAAGAACAAUAAAGGCAAAAAAGACACAGUGAAUAUGUCUCCAAGAAUGCAUAUUAAAUAAUGACAAAAUAAAUUGACCUUUAUGCAAAUUGUCAAUUUUAUCCAAUCCUUUAAUAUUAUUAAUUUUACUAUUAGCCGUUAGGAUUGGUGUCAAUUCUUGCAUUCAAUUUAAAAAAAAAAAAAUU
rnacentral:misc_RNA from 1 species